UACAUGUGGGGCAAGCGUUGUUCGGAAUUACUGGGCCUAAAGGGUGCGUAGGCGGUUUGUUAAGUCAGGGGUGAAAGUUUUCGGCCCAACCGGAAAAUGGCCUUUGAUACUGGCGAACUCGAGUGCGUGAGGGGUAACCGGAACGAGUGGUGUAGCGGUGAAAUGCGUAGAUAUCACUCGGAAGGCCAAAGGCGAAGGCAGGUUACUGGUACGCAACUGACGCUGAGGCACGAAAGCGUGGGGAGCAAACAGG
rnacentral:rRNA from 1 species